rnacentral:rRNA from 1 species
AUUGAACGCUGGCGGCAUGCUUUACACAUGCAAGUCGAACGGCAGCGCGGGCUUCGGCCUGGCGGCGAGUGGCGAACGGGUGAGUAAUACAUCGGAACGUGCCCAGUAGUGGGGGAUAGCUCGGCGAAAGCCGGAUUAAUACCGCAUACGACCUGAGGGUGAAAGCGGGGGAUCUUCGGACCUCGCGCUAUUGGAGCGGCCGGUGGCAGAUUAGCUAGUUGGUGGGGUAAAGGCCUACCAAGGCGACGAUCUGUAGCUGGUCUGAGAGGACGACCAGCCACACUGGGACUGAGACACGGCCCAGAGUCCUACGGGAGGCAGCAGUGGGGAAUGUUGGGCGAUGGGGGGAAGCCUGGUCCAGCAAGGCCGCGUGUGUGAUGAAGGCCUUCGGGUUGUAAAGCACUUUUGGCGGGAACGAAAAGGACUGUGCCAAUACCACGGUUCGAUGACGGUACCCGCAGAAUAAGCACCGGCUAACUACGUG